AUGAGCCGGUUCUGCCUCUCUGCAGCCCUUCUCUUCCUCCUGGUUAUCCUGGUGGACAGCUCUCUCCAGUGUAUGAACACCAUACUCAGGACCAAGGUCUGGAGACAAGCCAUGGAAGGAGACUUGAGAAGCGUUAGUAAUAGAUUUGAUUUCAGUUUUCAUCAAUGCUGUGGUUACAGUUGUCAAGCUUUUUAACGGAAUGGGAUUCAAUGAAAUAAAAGGAUUGGCUCAAACAAUGAGUCAGAUGAUGACUUCUGGAAGGCAACUGGAGAACCAUACAGUAGUGGUGUUCCCAGCACCAAUGCUCAAAGAAGAGAAUAAAGCAGAUUCUAAGCCUGUCUUCUGCCUGGAGCCUAAAGUAACAGGUCACGGCAAGGCCUUGAGGCCCAGGUACUUCUAUAAUGCUGAGACCGGUGACUGUGAGCAGUUUACAUAUGGUGGCCUCGGAGGGAACAAAAACAACUUCCUAACAUUAGAGGACUGCAUGAAGACCUGCAGUCAAGGGGCAGGGUCCUUGUGAGAACAUGCAAAAAGUGGUCCCCAGAAACCCUGAAGUCUGAGGAGGACCCCUGCAGGGCUGGGCUUUGGCUGCUUCUGAAACAGUUCAGUCUCCUCGCAGUUCUUUCCUCUACCCUCAUCAGCCAGACGCGUCCAUUUCCUUUCCUCCAUGGGUCUACAUGUCUUAAUUCUGUCUCAUCCAGUUGGCUCUCAGCACCAUGAGAACAUGUCUUCCCUUUAUCCCUAGCACUUUACACAGUUCCUGGCUAAGGAGACAGUUCAUAAUUAUUUGACGAAAGAAGGAAGGGAUGCAGAAACACAUUCCCCAUGACCAGAGUAACUAUAGAGCCGGCAGUUUUAUGGCAGGAUUUUUGUUUUAACCCGCAUCCUCACAGCAUCCUCACCUUUAACCCCCUCCCCACCAUCACUGCUCUCCUUGUGCAUGGCCAAGGUGGAAUUCCCAGCCUCCAGUUUUCAGCAUCAGUUAUGAGAGAAGAGUCUGGGAUCAAGAAGCUCCUUGACCCCACAAUGAUGCUGCAUUUUCUUUUCUGUGGCUUUACCCACUGUGGCUUAUAUUUCAAUAAAUGCAUAUUCAAA